rnacentral:sRNA from 1 species
GAACGGAUCGCGCGUUUGUGCCCUAACACGGCACUUCAUGACAUUAUUGUCUCCCCGCCCGUGACCACGGAUGUACUGGCGCGGCGGGUUGAGAUGAUGAGGAAGGUCGGGCCUGUCCCGGCCUUUUUUAUU